CUUCCCCUGCCCCAAAUCUGGCUGGUGAAAGAGGCCCAGGCAGUGGGCUUGAUUGUUGAGACUGAGGGUCUUCAUCCAUCUUGAGCCCUAUGACCAGAGUAGUGGGGCUUGUCCUUCUUCUAUAGCUGCCCUAUAGAUUUCUGAGUACUCAGCCAGUGAGUGUCAUACUGUGUUCCCUUAGUCCCACAUUUAGGGCCUGGAAGCUUCCAAUAUAUCCUGUUGGGUUAUGCGUGUUUUACCCAAAGAUUGGUCAAAUGUGAAAUCAGUUUGGUCCCCUGGAGAUCAAGUGAGAUAGGGUAGCAAGUGUGCUCCAUUUGUUGAUUUAAGAGUCACAUGUGCCACUAGUCAGGUGCAUGCCUGUCUUGUCAUCCUGUACUGCCAGUGCUUGGCAGGCUGAUGCAGGAGGAUCACCAUGAGUUCAAAGCAACCUGAGGUAUAUAACAAGACUCUGUCUCAAAGAAACAAAUAACUGAGGGCAGCGAUGUAACUCAGGGAUAGAGUACCUGUACCAUGCACAAGGUCCUUGGCUUAGUCCCAGUACUGAAAAAAUUGUACAUGUACAUGUGUCUUCAUGAAGCCCCUCUUAUAAAUGUUACUUACUUUCCCCUGCAGCCCUUCCCUCUUGAGGGACACUGCUGGAAACUGCUACUGAUGGUGCUAACCACCUAGUGCAUCUUGGAGGUGUUGGCAUUCAGCAGCAGCCUAAAGUCAGUGCCUGUUGAGGGCUGCUCUUGGCCUGGUGUUAUGGGGACAGAACCCAGGAUCUCAUGCAUGCUGGCAAGUUGCUACCACUGAGCUACAACCCCAGGCCUGUUGGCUUGUUCCAUGUUGGUAGGACAGAAGAGCAGUGUUCAGGCUCUUCCAGACGAAUAAAGAGGAGUCCUCCCAUUUAUUGUUCUUGGUGAGUAUGUAAGAAAACCUAGAUCUUGGUGUGCGCUGUUCCUGGGAGUAGUUGCUUCUAGGCUCUUAACAGGAAUGUGUGUGUGCUUUCACAAUCCUCUGUGUGCACAUCUUUAAAUAAUUUUAUAUGUGUUCAUGCCAGUUUUUACUAAGAUAAAUAUGAAUUUAUACUGAUUGCUCUAGCUCCAUUCAAAUUCCAUAUUGUGACAUUACUUUUAAAUUUCAUUUUCUGAGUAUUCCUUGCUGCUGGAUAGGAUUUCAGUUGAUGUGGAUCCUUAUUUAACUUUCACAGUAUUUUUUUUUAAUUGGUUCUGGGGAUUGAAUGCCUGACCUCAUGCUUCCCAGUGAGGCACCUACGCCGCUGAGCUAAAUCCCCAGCUUUCAUGGUAUUUUUUGAAAUUGAACAACAUCUCAUUGCAUUUUCUUGAUUCAUGACCAUGUAGUGCAUGGUGAGGAAUGAUAUAUUUGUUUCCAAUAACUGAAUUUUAUCUCUUUUUAAUUGUUUAUUGUUUUAUACAGCAAAAACCAUAUAAUCCUAAAGGAAAGUGACCUUGAUAGGGCCCUGAGAGAAAUCACUUCUCUGCCCUAACUCCCAGACACAGUUACCACCACCCACUGCUCAAACAAGAGCAGGGAGGAUGAAAAACAGCAAAAUGGUGAUCAUCUGUCAGGAGCAUCAGUUUCAUCGUAAGACUUGAGAGAAACAGCAGUCUAUGAGGAACCAUCUCCUCUACUCAGAAACAUGGGAGAAAGAAAGCAGGUGCUGACCUCUCACCUCCCUGGUCAGCAAACACAGAGGGAUAGUGGGUCUUUCAUGCCCACAGAGUCCCCCAGAGUCAGCUGACCUGUGCAGGGCACAGCACACUCCGGGAACAAGUUCCAAAUGCCUUGGCACAUGGCCCUUUCCUGCACAAAAUGGGCUCUCCUUCCGUGCUCAGGAAUCCUGGCACCCCAGGCUGAGCAGAGCCCCAGGCAUCCAGGAUGAGGUGCAGCAGGUACAGGACUCAGGACAGAAAACACAUUGGGCAGCGCCAGGGUCCUCUGGGGAGACUUCAGGGCAGAAAAGAAGGGUGAGAGUGGGCACAGCUCAGCAUGGUGGGUGCUCUAGGUGCCAUGGCCAGAUGCUUCUUCUUAGGCAGACCCAGCCCUUCCCCUGGAGGAGGGUGCUGGGGAUCAUAGUUGACACUGGAGGAGCUCCCCCACAGCAGCCAAGGGCUUGGUGACAGUGGGGGAGGGCAGCCACUUGAGAGGGUCACUGGUGAGGCGGCUGCAGGGCAGGCUUUACCUGAGAGAGUGUCCCACCUCCCGGCAUGGCAGCUGCUCCAUAAACCCUGGGCACCAGGACCUUGUUGCAGAAGCAACUCAAAGGAAGCUGAGUGGAGAACGUGAGUGUGUUGGAUUUCAAGGACUGUGGGAGGGGUGCUUUUCUUUUCCCCCAGUUCCUGAAAACUGCCAUUGUUAUAUAAAAGAACAUUUUAAAGGGAAUAUUCCCCAAGUGUAUAAAGACUGCAGUCUCAGGCAUCAUGGCCAGGAUGGGGUAUAACCCAUGGAAGGUCACUGACUCUGCAAGUCUCAAGAAAAAUGAUCACUGAAUGACCACUGUCCUGCUGCUACAGCCCCACCUGCUCCAGGGGGGCGGGUUUCAUAUUCAAGGUAAAGCCUGCAGAUAUAGAGGAGGUGCCACCAUUCUCCACAGAUCCAAACCCCUCAUCUCUCCCUCCAAGUGGUGGCCAGUGUGCCUGCUUCUUGCACUGAACUUUUCUCCCUGGGAUGAAACCCCCAGGGAAUCAUGGUGGGAGAGGCUCCGUGUCCCCCAGUUCCCAUCUGCAGUGUGUCGUGCCCACCUAGUCCUGCUACUUCCAGAGUGUCCUGCCAGCUUGGUCCUAGGGGCUCCCACUCCAGCUCCUGCACCACCCCAGCCCCUGUCAGCAGUAGGAGGUGGGGCUGGAAGGCUGUGAAGAGGAGGAUCAGAGACUGCCUGCAGGCCAUGUGCUGCCGCCGCCUGCUAGCCUGGGAGCCAACACAAGGUGGCCCCAGUGUAAGUGCUGCACAGCAGAGAAGCAGCCCACAUUCAAGGAGGCUGAGUGCUCUGGGCACUUUCUCAAGUGCGCUGCUUGAUGAUAUCAUUUUCAAUUGUCAGGGUGUGACUGUAGGGAGGAGAUGAAGGAGGCAGGAAGGGCACGUGUGGGCAGAGGGAAGAGCCUCAGGUGGCAAGGAGGAGUUGCUGUGGGGUCUACUGCAGCCACCACCAUCUGCCAUGUUUCCUAGUGAGCGUCCAUUACACAUGUCUCCUUGCAUUUGUGGACAUGACAGUGAGGUCAGCCACACAGGUGGAAGCCAUAGUGAGUCAUCUUGCAGCCCUUCGUCUAGUGAGCUGCAGGAGAGAGGAGGGGGAGGCAAGACCACUAGUGCAUCCUGUGGGAAUGAGGGCGCACGCCCUGGGAAGGCUGUGCGGGAACCAGGAGCUGAGAUCCUGUGGGAGGAAGACGGCAGAGGAGCAGGGCGGAGAUUCACCUGCCGAACACUCUGCACCUGCCAGCAAGGCUCUCCCUCUCCUCGGCCUCCAUGCACUGCCUAUCUCCUGAAAGGGCUGGCCCUUGGCUAACCUUGCAGGAAGGGACAAAACCAGGACUCUGCUCCAAACUCAGGGCCUAGCCACACAGCCUCCUGUGUCCCAGCCUCAGUUUCCCACUUGUGGAAGCACUGGGGCUGAGGUUGGGGAUCGAGAUGUUGCUUAUUGUGCCCUUUGGCACAGCUGAGAAGGUGGCACGCCCUCUUUCUGUCCCCUGAGGAUCAGGGUGGCUAGUGCUGGGCCUGCUCCAGGUGGGGGAUGCGGGGAUGACACGGGCUGCUCUGUAGCUGCGUGGCUGCAUGGGCUGUGGCUCCAGUGGGAACCAGGAAAGGCUUGCUCUUCUGAUCUGGUUUUGAAACUGGAGACCGGAGGUGACCUGAGGGCUGUGGCCAAGUGGACCUACUGCCACUCACAUGCCAGCCACCCAGAUCCCCAGCUGCUGUCCCUGCCCAGGUGUGGACAAUGGUGAGGACAUUCCCCAGGAGACACUGAUUGGGAUCUAUGAGCGAAUCCAGCAGCAGGAGCGGAAGACAAAUGAGGACCACAUGUCCCAGCUGCCCCCAGAAGGUGAAGAAGCUGAUCGUGGGGAAGAAGCCCAUACAUGCUUGGCCCUCAGGCAUGGGGCCGCCUGCCCACCAUUCUGGCCUCUGGCAGGCAGAGCUGGCGGGGGACUCCCAGGCACUCAAAGCAGUGCCUGCAGGCUUGAGGAAUCCUGGCUGUUUGCUCUGGUUGCACUUGAGGCCCUCAGGUCCUUAGUGAUGGCCCAACUCUGCUAACUCUAGGCUCUUUCCUUAGUGAUCUGAGCCCCCUGUCCCUGACAGCGCACUACAGUGAGCUUUACACCUUGGCCACUCCCUGGUAUCCAGGCUGGUGGAGCUGAGGACCUGGCGCCCUGGCUGGGCAUUGCUGUGCACAUCUCCAAUGUCCCAAGGUGAUUGUGGACGUUAACAUCGGUCCCUGUGCUGUUUUGCCACAGAUCAGAUCACUGUAUCACCGGCUUGGCUUACUACCCCAAUAGCAUCUGGCUCACAACUGCCAUGGCCGGGGAAGACCCCAGAGUGUGAAUCACCUCCAACACCCCUACCUGCAAGCCAGAAGUUCACCAAUGACCUGUGGGAGUCUGUGGAAGAAGUGUGGGAGAUGGAGAAGCAAUGGAUAGAAGCACAGGGAGGAGAUAUCAUCCCUCAUGUCUCCUGGAUUCCCCAGGCCACCUGGGCUCCUGACUUGGCCUUUCUGUCUCUGACCGCAGGAGAGGUGCCUCUUGUCCUUUCUGGCCUCCACAGCCACUUGGAGGGACAGCAAUACCAGGACCUAUCUAGGACUCCACAUUGUGUGCAGUGGCGGGACACCGCUGUCUCCUCCCAUCUGUGGCUGUCUGCUGUCUACCAGGAACGCUGUCCUUGUUCCUGUGCACAGGUCCCUUGACUGCCUGCCUGACAUUCCCUCAUGCUGAGACUAUGGUGAUGUGUUUCUAUCAAGAGCACUGCAGAGGUGAUAGUCCCACCCCAGGUGUCACACUAGGAGGGUCAUGAUGUCCCUAAGCCCAAGAACUGCUGAUGUGAUGCUGCAUCUUCUUGAUGGUAGUGUUUGCCAAGAUUUGCACAGGAAAUUAUUUCCCAGCUCUGCUAUGGAUACCAUGGGCUGUUACUUGGUAACUACCUAUGUAGACUACCUCACUUCCAACUUCUGCUCAGUCAGGGCCCUGUGCUCUACUGGAAUGUGCCUGUCACACUUCAGUCUCUACUGUGUGCCUAAGGGGAAUUUUCUCCUUCCGUGUUGCUAUCUCUACCUCAGUGGACCAGAAAUCCCCUCUGAAGAUAAGAGUACAAUUUGGUCAAAAGAGGAUACACAAAGCUCUGGCCAGUUCAAUGCCCAAGGCAGUUGCAGUGACAACAGGAGCAUAAGGGAAUGUCAAUUUCUGAGUGAAGACUGCAUUCCCAAGAAUAAAACAGGUUGUUUCAGGAGAAAGACACCAAUUGACCACAAGUGUGUAAGAAUUCAGAACACAUGUGCACAGAGCUUCGAAAUGUGCAAAAAACUGAUAAAAGGACAACUGAAUACAGAAUUAUAGUCAGACAUUUCAACGUCCUCGCAAUUUAAUAGAAAAAUUAAACACAAUUUUUAGGGAUCAAAAGAUUGCAUGUUAUGGACAAACUUUUACCAACUGCCACUGACUGAAGCAUCCCAUCCAAACAACAGUGCAGUAUUCACUGCUGUCAAGUGUACAUGGAGGAAAUGUUCCAACACAGUCACAAAAUAAACCCCAAUCAAUUUAAAAGAAUUUCA